AUGUUUCUCAUGAACUGUAUGUCAAACCUUUAAACUGUUAUCUGCUAACAGCUUGAAAUGUGUACGUGCUGGGUGUGAGAUUCAUCUAUACGUUCAGAUGCGCAUGCGCUUCAGAGCUUGUGUGUGUGCCUGUUUGUUUAUUGUGUGUAUCUUCUAGACCAGGGGUCUCCAAACUUUUUGAAUCGCACACCCCCGGGGCCAGCCCUGGGGAAGCAAAAAAAAAAAAAAAAAAAAGAGGCGGGGAGAGCCGAGCUGCCGCCGGCGUGCCGCUGAAGAAUAAAA